UCUUCCUUGCUUUAGGCAUUCAUUUCUUCUUGCUCCUCUUCAGCUCACAUUUCAGCUCUUGGAGUGGAACCCUAGCUUAGAUCUCCUCAAGAAGAAGACUAAACCCAUGAUUUUUUGAAGUGCAAAAAAAAAAAAACAAAGGUUGAGCUUGGAGGUAAUGACGAAGAUGAGGUUGCAGAGUAAGACACUACUCUGGAAGGAGAGACGGAUGCUUAGUAGUAGCCUUGGGUUGGGUCUUUGCGUGAAGUUUAAUUUUUGGUUGAUUUUGUGAAACUGUUUGGUCUAUGUAUGUUGAGAAGGAAAGCAUUUUGUAAACUUGGUAAAUGUUCCUACCCUGAAAGUAGUUGUGGUUUUUAAUAUGUAGCUAAUGGGGUAGUCUUGUAUUUUGACAAACAUGUUAUUUGAGUUUUGAAGUUAUAAAAGAAAAAUG